GCAGGGGCGGCCGCUGACGGCCCGGGUGCCCUUCCGGGGUCCCCGCCGGGGGUCCCGGGGGCGGCGCGGGACGGGGGGUGUCCGCAGGAAUUCCCGAGGGGACUCGGGGGCGUCCACGCGCCCAGGCCGAGGGCAGGGCGGGCGGUGGGUGUCAGAUGGCGGAAGUCAAGGCGCUGCCAGGUUCUCGGGGCGAUGCUGGGGUCAUACCGCGGAGUUCUGGGCGUCAGAAAUCCAGCCCAGGUCUCGGGGGACUAAGAUCAAAGCGUCCACGGAGCUGCGUUCCUGUGUCUUUCCAGCUUCUUCCAGCCGUGUUCUGGCCUUGGGGCCCUUUCCUCCAUCUUGAAAGCCACAUCCCAUCACUCUGCCCUUUUCUUCUGCCUCCCUUGUCACCCAAAAUUCAUGCGCUGAAAUCCUCACCCCACGCCUUUGACCCUCAUUUUAAACGCACUGGACUCCAGCCACACGGAAGUCUUUAUAACAUAAUUUGUGGGACACAUUUAUGAACGAUUGCGCUGAAUUCUCCUUAAGAUAAAGAAUAAAACCUUGCUCUGGUUUAGCACGC